rnacentral:lncRNA from 1 species
GGACCUUAUGAUCCCUUGAGCUACUUUACAAUCUAGCUUAUAACCUGCUUGAGUUCCUGUCCUGACUUCCUUCAGUGAUGAGUAAUGCCAUGAAAGUGUAAACCCAACAAACCCUCUCUUCUGUAAGUUGCUUUUGGUCAUGGCGUCUCAUCUCAUCAACAGUAACCCUAACUAAGAUGUGCGUCGUGUGAGAAAAUGAAUAUUUUCAAAGGGACUCUGAGGAAUGUUCUCAUGAAUCCUGUCUACCCAGAUUGCAACCUGAAUACCAGAACACAUUGUUUGAAUACAUAAUUCAAGGUCAACGAGAAGGUGUUCCAUUGUAUGAUUUAGUCAUGAGCCACCGCUUGGAGCAUCAUCUUUCUGCCAUUAAUGAGUCGCCUUCUACAGCAGCAGGAUUUGGAAACCUUUGAACUGUUUAGAGGAGAGCCUUUGGGUGGGUGUGUUUGCCCUUUUCUGUGUUAAAUUGCUUGUCUCCGGCAGGCAUUUCCCUAACAAAUCGAGUCCUGGUCCCAGUCUGGCUGUUGAAUUGGGAGCCAUUAAUAACUGGCAAUUUGUAGCUGUCAUAAAGAUGCCGGGGACUUUCCAGAUGGCUUUUCCCGCCUUGUGCCAGUCCCUUUGAUGGGAUUUUAAUCAGCAGGCAUUGGUCGUGGUCCUUGGCCCACAGCAGGGACAGAGGUCACCUGUUUACCAUAGCUUUGGUUUUCUGAUGAAAGGGCAAAGCCCCAGGAGGGCAUGUGCUGGGUAUUUUAGGAGCCAGGGGGAAGAGACACUGGAGUAUAAUAUGAGAAUGUAAACCAAACACAACAACAAAAAGUCCAAUUGAACUUUUAAAAUCACCGAGCUAACUUUGAAGGUAGUGAACAGAAGUUGUGAGCGAGCGUCAUGUGUGCCCUUUGGGUCUGACUCAACACACUAACUUAGCACUGAAGGAGUGCAGAGGAACCUCUCACACUCAACUCUGUUCCUCUCCCUGCCCUCCAAAGCCUCCCACAAGACCUUCUGAAAAAGAGAAUCGAGGUUCAAGAAACCCCCACUGAUAACAAACAGUCUUUCCAAAUAGGCUCAGGAAGCCGCUCCAUAGUGGGAUGUCAGGGGCUGAUCCAAAUUGCCGUCACCCCUGUAUCCACCAUUCCAUCUAAAUGUUAUGACCACUUUGCUUCCUACACAAAUUGGUCUUGCCAAUCACAGAACAAUCACUUCUAUCAACGACGCAAGACCCUCUUCUUCUAUACCCAAGACCCAUGGAAUCCCAGGUGGGAAGCGGGCGUUGUUGGUAAGCUCAACCGUAAGAACCAGUCUGGGUCUCCAAUAAGGACUAUUCACAUCCAGAGAAAGUAUGUCUCAAUUGUCCAACCUCUGGAAAUUGGAGAAAUAGGAGAAUUAAACACUCCUCCAAAGUUAUUACAUCCCUGACAUCCUCCCUCAUAAAUGGCACUAACUUGUCAUUUCACCUUCUGUUUCAGACCUCAGCCUACCAAUUCCUUAAUGUCACCCAACCUGGUCACUUCAAAGAUUGCUGGCUAUGUGUACCCCCUGGAAGUAACUUACAAUCACCUCUUACAGCUUCUCUAGAGAUGCUGCCACACAACCUCGCUUCACCUUUUAUCAGCUGCCCUGACUCCGAUGUUGCCAUGACUCCAUACCUUUUCUCUAUCUCUCUUUUCAUGGCAGACUAUUUUAGGACAUCCGGGACACACUCUGUAGGAACGCUAAGCUCCCUAGACUGUAUCAGAAUCAUAACCCUUGAUACCUCACCUCUGCCACAGUGCCCUGAAGACCAGAACACGCCAAUUCUCUCUGGUACUCAGGUCUAUCAUCAUUUACCUGCAAGCUGGGCAGUAGUUUGCACAUUGGUCUCUUUUUUCCAAAUUAGGAGUAAUCCACAGGGAAGAGCCGCUACCAAUCCUGGUGUGGACUCAAUAGCUGCCCAACAUAACAAAAGGGUAGUGAAAUCCUGUCACUCUUGGUCCGUGUAGGAAUAACUGAAGGUGUUGCUCCCGGAACGGCAGGACUGAACACCUCUCUAACCUUAUACAACCAGUUCUCUUCCCAGCUUGUCUGCAAUCUUCAAGAGGUGGCUCAAACCAAGCUCACUCUCCAAGGACAGAUCGAUUCCCUGGCAACAGUGAUGCUUCAAGACCUAUGGGGACUGGAUUUUCUUACAGCUAUAGAGGGUGGCCUUGGGUUUUAUUCUCCAGCAAGAAUGCUGCUUCUAUGUCAACCAGUCAGGUACAGUAAAAACCAAACCUCAACGACUCCAAACAGACCCCCAAGAACACAGAGAACAGCUUGAUGCCUCUGAUCCCUGGGUUUUCACAAACCCCAUAUGGAAAUGGAUACUGCCCUUCCUAACCCAUCUUCUUCUCAUUUUUCUGUUUUUAACUAUUUGUUCCCUGGUUCAUUAAUUUCUUCUCUACAGUCCUCCAAUGACAAAUUCAAAAAAGUUCCAACCAACCAAUUAAUCAGUUCCUUUUUACAUGAUUACCAACCACUGUCCACAGAAGAACCUGAUGCGACCGAACAUUGAAUGAGUCUUGAUGGUGAGGGUCAGCUACACCCCAAAAUUAACAACACCCCUAGACAACAGGAAGCAGUUUAAGAGAUCCGAUGCCCCUAUUCCCACUUUACAACCGGCCCGUCCCCUUUUUUGAUUCUCCUCUUUAUGAUUAGGAAAAGAGAGGAUUGCUGACAACUAGGUACAUCCAUGGACAGCUAGAAAUGAUUUCGCAACAAUCAGGCAUCUUUACAGCCAGCCCUCGAGGGACCUAAUGAUGAGACAUGUCAUCUCUAGCAGCUCAAGAGGAAACAGCGUUGCUGCUGUCUGUCUCUUUGCACAUGUGCCACGGGCCCAAUAAAAGCCUCGUUCUCCCUGCCCCCUUCUCUCCUCUCUCCUCCCUCUCCCAGAGGCUGCCUCUAUUUCCCCUCCUAAUAAACCUCACACUGAGACCGGCUGCAGGGCGGAGAUUUGUGAUUUGUUUGGGACCACUUAAUUCUAACACCUGUGGUCUCUGUUUCAACAUUGGCCCCUCCUUUGGCCUACUCUGUCUCUCUUCCACUCUGACAUCCAUGACAUCCAUAGUCUACAGGCAGCCUCCUUCUCUCCAUGGAACUCUGAGGAGUCGUUUACUGCCUCUUCCCCUAGGACGCCAGCUCCACCAGGACACAGAAUAUCUCCUUUACUGCUACACACCUUCCCCUUAACCCGUGGCAGAGAUAAAAACAAAUGCAUUGGAAUGUAUGCUACCGUGCUCCCCACAGUGAUGAUAAUGGACUAAACCUCUGAAACUGUAAGCCAGCUCUAGUUAAAUGCUUUCUAAGGGUUGCUGUGGUCCUGGUGUCUCUUCACAGCAACAAAACACUGGCUUAGACACCUACUGCACAGUACCCCCUACAUCAGGAUCAUCUCUUAAUCGUGUAGAGUAGGAGCCGGCUUGACAUGAGAUCAGCUUCCUUGUUUCCCAGUGGGGACAUUCUGAAGUUUGUUCCAGAGGGUUCUUUCCAGAACUCAGACCACAGAAUCCCUUGCCAACCUCCACACCGACUUGCCUUGUUCUGUUGUCUCCUUUAACCCUUAGCAUGGCUUUUACUUUAUUUCUCAAUUCGAUGACUUAUUUGACAUCUUUGUUUCAGGGUCUGCUUUUAAAUGAACCCAAAUUAGGAAGUCACAAUCUGGGUUUGUGUACUGUCCCAUUAGUAGUGGGCUCAUGAGUUUUAUGUUAUGGAAUGUAAAAAUACUUAGCAUGACCCAGACAUAGGAAGUCCAUCUGCUCUGGUACUCCCACUUCCCCGUUUUCCUCCGCUGACCACCAGCAUCUGGCUAUUUCAGUCAGCAUUUAGAAUCUAGUCUGUUUCCAAUUCCUUCUGCACUUGGCCAUUUGUGUUUGUUGCUUCUGCCUGAGUAGCCUGUCAGGAUCAUCCAUGAGGCCCCCACCCAGGUAUCCCUUCCUCAUGGGGGUUUUGGGCUCUCCAGACUUCCCAUGAUCCUCUUGCAGUUUCCCUCAUGACACUUGCCACAUCACCCACUUCCUGAGGAUGAUAAUCUGCUCAGGUGUGGGUCCCACAAGGGCCCAAGCACACUGGUGCAUCGUGAGGCUCACUGGACAACCACAGGCAGCAUGUUCCUUUAACCCUGUCAUCCAGGGCAGCAAAUUAGACAUGCUGAUUAGACAGAGCUGGGAACACCAGUGGGAACGGUCUGAGAGAAAGUCCCAUUGUACCCCAGGGCAUGCUCGUUAGCAACCUGGGAGGAAGCAGAGGCUGCCAGUCAGUCCGUGGCAGUGGAGGCUUCUUGGACACAGACAUGAGCUGUCUCUUCGGUCUAUAACCAACUGAUUAUCCAGGAGAGGCUGCCUCUCAUUUCUAAGUGGACAACCCCACUGGUUUAUAAGGUGUUGUGCUCACACUUUCAGGGUAUGUAGAGGUUCAUACACGAACCACCAUCACACUCAACGUCCAACUGUGGCGUAGCUCAGUUCCUUUCCAAUUUGAGUUCACAAUAAAAAAUACAACAAAGAUUUCAAAGGAAAGGGAACAAAAGCUGAGGUCUUCCUUUCUGUGAGCCAACAGAGCACACAAAGCCACACCUGGAGUUACUGCUCUGGAGGGAUUCAGGAGAAAGCCAAGCCCCCAGGGGGGCUCCUCUGAAAUGUAGAUUCUAAUGCGGGAGGCCUGGGCCUGUCACAGGAUUCUGCAUUUUAACCAGCUCCUGUAGUGCCAAAGAUCUGAGUCUGUGUACUGUCCCAUUAGUAGUUGACACCCUACUUUUCAAAUAUUCUUAAGCCACUAAAAUUUAGGUGUCUAAACCAGGCAGUAGGACGUGCUUUCUUCUUUUCUUUUCUUCUCUUUUCUUUUCUGUGAUUUCCUUCUAUCUCAGAGUCAUUCCCCCCACCCGCCCCCCAGGGGGAAUCAGUGGAAUGAGUAGCCUUCACUGUGUUAUUAAAUGACAGCCCAUUGGAGAACUCAUCAAGUAGAGGAGAGCUGGACAAAUUAAGUGUGUAGACUCUUCCUUUCUCCUGCACUUUACAAUAUCCCCUGGUAAGUUUCUACUGAUUGCAAAAGCUCUCUGGGCCUCAUGAUGAAAUGGAUGCUGGUGUGUUUUCACGUGUCAUUUUAUAGAUAUUUAUAUUUAUGAGCAGAAACCAGUAUGAAUACAAAGGGAGGUGUGUGUGUAUGUGCGUGUGUAACAGAGAGAGAUGGGAGGGAGGGAGAGAGAGAGAGAGAGAGCCCACUGACCUGCUGCUGUGGUAGAUGGGGCCAACUCUAUAAACUCCCUGUGCUCAGGGAUGCUGUGAGGAUGUCCCAGCUAGUGACAGAGCCUGAGUGAUUUGUUGGCAUUGGUGAACUUACUGCCUUGCCCUCUGGGCAUCUGUAGUGUUGUAUCAGGAGGGCAAGAGGAUUCCAAAUAGAUUUAAUAUUCCCUGUAUGAGAUUCAACCAUCUGCCCGCCAGCUCUCAGUGUGAGCAUAAUAUAUGUAUGCCUCCAGAAUCGAACACAAAGAGCCCACUCUCCCCUUUCUUCCC